rnacentral:rRNA from 1 species
ACGUCAUUAGGUGGAUGACUUAGCUCGAAACAAUGAAGAAGGGCGUGGCAAGCUGCGAUAAGCUUUGGGUAGGCGCAUGCAGCCUUCGAACCAAAGAUUCCUGAAUAAGACUUCUAUUAUAUUCCGAAAGGAAGAAUAACGCGGAGAAUUGAAGCGUCUUAGUAUCCGCAGGAAAAGAAAUCAAUUGAGAUUCUGUGAGUAACAGCGAGCGAAAACAGAACAGAGCAAACCGAAUUUCUUAUAGUAAUAUAAGAUAGAUGUGGUGUUUUAAGACUUGCUUUUAGUCCUGUAAAUUUAGUUGAAGUUUUCUGGAAAGAAAUGCUUUAGAGGGUGAUAGCCCCGUAGAUUAAAUGAAAGGAUUUGCGAGUAUCUUGAGUACUGUUUCUUGGAGAUGAAGCAGGAAGAUGGGAGACAUCAACUUCCAACUCUAAAUAUGUUUCGAGUCUGAUAGAGCAUUAGUAUAGUGAUAAAAAGUUGAAAAGAACCCUUGACAGGGAGUGAAAAGAUCCUGAAACCUAAUGAUUAUCGAAUGAUGCUGCUCUACGGAGUUGCAUCGUACGUUUCGAAUAACGGGCCAGGGAGUUUAUCUAAGUGGCGAGAAUAACUUUUUCAACGAGGCAUUCUUAGCGAAAGCAAAAUCUCGCAGUUUACAAGGAGAGAGGUUUUAACUAGCCUUAAGUCACUUGGAUAUUACCAGAAACCGGGCGAUCUAAUCCUGAGCAAGGUGAAGCAAUCUUAACAGAUUGUGGAGGCCUGAAGCGGUUCUGUGGACAUGCGUUCGUCUGACUUGGGAUUAGGGGUGAAAAGCUAAUCGAGCUCGGUGAUAGCUGGUUCCUACCGAAAUAUGCCGAAGUAUAGUCUGGAGGGAGAUAGUUAAGGUUGUAGAGCUACGGAUUUGGAAGUAAGGGGUAGAAAUACCUCGCUUUCUUGUCCAACUCCAAAUGCUUUAACAUCGUAGAACUCUGGAAUCAGUGAAGCGCGGUAAGCGUGUUUUUCAAUAGGGGAACAACCCUCUCUAUGGUUAAGGUCCCAAAAUACUGAUUAAGUGUGAAAGGGUGAAAAGUGUAUAUAACCAAAAACAGCUGGGAGGUUGGCUUAGAAGCAGCCAUCCUUUAAAGAAAGCGUAACAGCUCACCAGUCUAGGUUAUAUGCCUUGAAAAUGGACGGGGCUAAAUCAGUUACCGAUACCAUAGGCAUCUGAAAAGAUUGUGUUAGGUAGGCCUUCUGUAAGGAUAGAAGUUUUUUCGUAAGAGAGAAUGGACCUUAUAGAAAAGAGAAUCCUGGUGGUAGUAGGACCAAUACAGGGUGAGAAUCCCUGAUACCGAAAGGGCAAGGUUUUCUUAGCAAUACAAAUUAGCUAAGAGUAAGUCGAUCCUAACUGAGUUCCUAAUUGGAAACUCGGGAAAGGGAAGCAGGUUAAGAUUCCUGCACUAUUUAAAAUUUUGCUUAAAUAACGCUUCGGGUUAAACUAAUAAUCAUCGUCGUGAUUAUUGCUUAGGAUAAGUUUAGGGAGUAUUGUAAUGAUGAGAACUAAAGUAAACUAAGUGAGCUAGCAAUAGUUUAGUUAACACCUGGAGCCCGUGAAAAAUAUUUAAGGUCGUUUUAAAUAAUCGUACUCAGAACCUGCACAGGUGCCCUGGCUGAGAAGGCUAAGGUAUGAGGGAAUAAUCUAACUAAGGGAACUCGGCAAAAUGGCUCUGUAUCUUAGGUAUAAAGAGUCCCUGCGAUUGUUAGUUUAGCUAGCGAUUACAGGGUGCAAUAACAGGGGGGAUCCGACUGUUUAACAAAAACACAGCUAUCUGCUAGCCAGCAAUGGUGUGUAUAGAUAGCCACAUCUGCCCAGUGCCAGUACUUUAAACUUCUUUUCAAGGGAGCCAAGAGCUGGUAAACGGCGGGAAUAACUGUAAUUCUCUUAAGGUGAUUGAGUUGCCUUAAUAAAAUCUGGCUAUAUGCUGGAACGUCCGGGUAUCUCACACUACCAUAAAAUUUAUUAAGGUUUUAUAAUACCUUAAAUUUUAGGUGACAAUGUGAUGAGUGCGGAUAAUCAGCAGGAAAGACUAGAUAAGAAUUGGAUUGUUGGAUUUGUAGACGGAGAAGGUUGUUUUCAUGUAGCAUUAAACAAGUUACCGAAAAUGACUUUAGGUUGGCAAGUUCUUCCAGAAUUUAGAGUAGUUCAACAUCAACGCGAUGAAUAUCUCUUAAAAAGAAUAUGCAAUUUCUUUGGAUUUGGAGAUGUAUGUCGUAAUCACGCUGAUAGAAAAGAAUUUAGAGUGAGGGGAUUGAAAAAUUUAAAUGAAUUAAUUAAGUUUUUUAAUCAAUAUCCUUUACAAACUUCUAAAAAAAGAAGUUUUGAAAUCUUUUCUAGAGUGAUAAAAUUGAUGAAUAAUAAAGAACAUUUAAAACUGGAAGGAUUAAAGAAAAUUGCUAAGCUUGCUUCACAAAUGAAUCGAAGAAUUCAAAGAAAUAUCUAGAAUCCUCAGAGACUAUACGCCAGACACAUUUUAAAAUGUGAAGAUAUAGUCCGACCCUCUAGGCGACUAGGGGAGGUUAUCAGAAAUGGUAAUCCGCCAUCUUAAUUUUAUCGAGAUGGUCAAGUACCUUAUAGACAUUAUAAGGGAAAGUAACAGCUGUGAGCGAAAUGCCUUGCCGUUUGAAUGACGGCCUGCAUGAACGGUGUAACGAGAUCUCUACUGUCCCUAGUUAGAGUCCCCUGAACACACUAUUCUGGUGCAAAAGCCAGAGAUGUCUAGUGGGAAGUAAAGACCCCGUAGAACUUUACUGUAGCAUGUAGCUGCAGUGUGGGAUUUGU